rnacentral:rRNA from 1 species
AUUGAACGCUGGCGGCAUGCCUUACACAUGCAAGUCGAACGGUAACAGGUCUUCGGAUGCUGACGAGUGGCGAACGGGUGAGUAAUACAUCGGAACGUGCCUAGUAGUGGGGGAUAACUACUCGAAAGAGUGGCUAAUACCGCAUGAGAUCUACGGAUGAAAGCAGGGGAUCGCAAGGCCUUGUGCUACUAGAGCGGCCGAUGGCAGAUUAGGUAGUUGGUGGGAUAAAAGCUUACCAAGCCGACGAUCUGUAGCUGGUCUGAGAGGACGAUCAGCCACACUGGGACUGAGACACGGCCCAGACUCCUACGGGAGGCAGCAGUGGGGGAUUUUGGACAAUGGGCGCAAGCCUGAUCCAGCAAUGCCGCGUGCAGGAUGAAGGCCUUCGGGUUGUAAACUGCUUUUGUACGGAACGAAAAGCCCUGGGUUAAUACCCUGGGGUCAUGACGGUACCGUAAGAAUAAGCACCGGCUAACUACGUGCCAGCAGCCGCCGCGGUAA